rnacentral:rRNA from 1 species
AACAAACGCUGGCGGCGUGCCUAAUACAUGCAAGUCGAACGGGGAAAGCUUUCGGGUGAGUACUAGUGGCGCACGGGUGAGGAACGCGUGGAUAAUCUGCCUUAGAGUGGGGGAUAACUAGUCGAAAGAUUAGCUAAUACCGCAUAAGACCACAGGAGCUGCGGCUCAAGGGGUCAAAGGUUUUUCGCUCUAGGAUGAGUCCGCGUAAGAUUAGCUAGUUGGUGAGGUAACGGCUCACCAAGGCGACGAUCUUUAACUGGUCUGAGAGGAUGAUCAGUCACACUGGAACUGAGACACGGUCCAGACGCCUACGGGAGGCAGCAGUAGGGAAUAUUGCACAAUGGAGGAAACUCUGAUGCAGCGACGCCGCGUGAGUGAUGAAGGCCUUCGGGUCGUAAAGCUCUGUCGCAGGGGAAUAACACAAUGAAUGUACCCUGUAAGAAAGGAUCGGCUAACUUCGUGCCAGCCGCCGCGGUAACAC